GCCCAGCCUCAGGCCUUGGCUCUACCGGCUGUAACCUCCACUCUGGGGUCCUCUGGAGGAGAGAAGGGCUACCACCAGGAGCCACAGUGAUCUCCAUACAGACUUCCACACUGGGCCUGCACCCUCCGCUCUGGGGCUCCCGGAGGCAGAGACCCGCAGAGGUACGGACCACAGGAUGUCCCUCCUCUCCCUGGCCAUGAGCAGAGUGCAUGGGCUGCUGCCUGCCCCUGGUACUGGCCUGUCUGUCCUGCCAGUGCUCCACACUGAUCCUGGGCCUGUUGGAGGCCUGCUCCUCCUGCCUCCACACCUUCAGCUCCUCCUGCUUCCGCUGCUGUUCCUGCUGCUGUGCUGCCCUCCAGGAAGCACCCGUGUAAGGACUUACACUGCCAUGCCCACUGCCACCAGAUCCUGUUCGAGUCCUGCUGCGAGCCCACCG
ensembl:lncRNA